AUUGACCGCUGGCGGCAGGCCUAACACAUGCAAGUCGAGCGAGCGGCGGACGGGUGAGUCAUGUAUUGGGAUCUGCCCGCUAGAGUGGGAUAACUACUGGAAACGGUUGCUAAUACCGCAUACUAUCGGAUGACCCCAUAUGGGAUUAGCUCGUAGGUGGGGUAAAGGCUCACCUAGGCGACGAUCUCUAGCUGGGCUGAGAGGAUGAUAAGCAAAACUGGGACUGAGACACGGCGGAGACUCCCACGGCAGGCAGCAGGGGGGAAUAUUGCACAAUGGGCGCAAGCCGGAUGCAGCCAUGCCGCGGGUAUGUAGAAGGCGUUAGGGUUGUAAAGUACUGGAAGCGGGGAGGCGUUACAGGCAGAAGAAGCACCGGCUAACUCCGUGCAAGCAGCCGCGGUAAUUC
rnacentral:rRNA from 1 species